GAUGAAGAACGCAGCGAAAUGCGAUAAGUAAUGUGAAUUGCAGAAUUCAGUGAAUCAUCGAAUCUUUGAACGCACAUUGCGCCCGCCAGUAUUCUGGCGGGCAUGCCUGUUCGAGCGUCAUUUCAACCCUCAAGCCCCCGGGCUUGGUGUUGGGGAUCGGCGAGCCUCCGCGCCCGCCGUCCCCUAAAUCUAGUGGCGGUCUCGCUGUAGCUUCCUCUGCGUAGUAGCACACCUCGCACUGGGAAACAGCGCGGCCACGCCGUUAAACCCCCAACUUCUGAACGUUUGACCUCGGAUCAGGUAGGAAUACCCGCUGAACUUAAGCAUAUCAAUAAGCGGAGGA
rnacentral:misc_RNA from 1 species